UACAGAGGAGCCAAGCGUUGUCCGGAUUGACUGGGCGUAAAGCGCACGCAGGCGGUUGCGCGCGUGGGGUGUGAAAUCUGGCCGCUUAACGGCCAGGCGCCAUCCCAUACGGCGCGACUGGAGCGAUGCAGAGGUCGGUGGAAUUGCCGGUGUAGUGGUGAAAUGCGUAGAGAUGUGGAGGAAUACCGAUGGCGAAGGCAGCCUCCUGGGCCAACACUGACACUGAGAGACGAAAGCUAGGGGAGCGAAUGGG
rnacentral:rRNA from 1 species